AGCUUGCUUCUCUUGAGAGCGGCGGACGGGUGAGUAAUGCCUAGGAAUCUGCCUGGUAGUGGGGGAUAACGUUCGGAAACGGACGCUAAUACCGCAUACGUCCUACGGGAGAAAGCAGGGGACCUUCGGGCCUUGCGCUAUCAGAUGAGCCUAGGUCGGAUUAGCUAGUUGGUGGGGUAAUGGCUCACCAAGGCGACGAUCCGUAACUGGUCUGAGAGGAUGAUCAGUCACACUGGAACUGAGACACGGUCCAGACUCCUACGGGAGGCAGCAGUGGGGAAUAUUGGACAAUGGGCGAAAGCCUGAUCCAGCCAUGCCGCGUGUGUGAAGAAGGUCUUCGGAUUGUAAAGCACUUUAAGUUGGGAGGAAGGGUUGUAGAUUAAUACUCUGCAAUUUUGACGUUACCGACAGAAUAAGCACCGGCUAACUCUGUGCCAGCAGCCGCGGUAAUACAGAGGGUGCAAGCGUUAAUCGGAAUUACUGGGCGUAAAGCGCGCGUAGGUGGUUUGUUAAGUUGGAUGUGAAAUCCCCGGGCUCAACCUGGGAACUGCAUUCAAAACUGACUGACUAGAGUAUGGUAGAGGGUGGUGGAAUUUCCUGUGUAGCGGUGAAAUGCGUAGAUAUAGGAAGGAACACCAGUGGCGAAG
rnacentral:rRNA from 1 species